AUCCUGCUGAAGAGGCCCAAAUAAGACGAAACACGCGUCCUUGAU
rnacentral:hammerhead_ribozyme from 1 species